CAAUAGCGUAUAUUAAAGUUGUUGCGGUUAAAAGCUCGUAGUUGGAGUUCUGCCAGGUGCCGCCUGUCCGCCCCAGUGGUGAGUACGUGGCGCGCAUUUUGGCCCCUUUCAAGGGGAGCGUAUCUGCACUUUAUUGUGUGGUGCGGGAUCCUUGACUUUUACUUUGAGGAAAUAGGAAGUGUUCCAAGCAGGCUCUCGUCGUGCACAGCUCAGCAUGGAAUAAUAGCAUUGGACCUCGAUUCUAAGCUGUUGGUUGCCAGAAGCAGGUAAUGAUGGAAGAGGGAUAGUUGGGGGCAUUCGUAUUUAACUGUCAGAGGUUGAAAUUCUUGGAUUUGUUAAAGAACGGACUACUGCGAAAGCAUCUGCCAAUGGAAUGGUUUUCAUUGAUCAAG
rnacentral:rRNA from 1 species